rnacentral:lncRNA from 1 species
UUUCUGUGCGAUUUAGUUUGCUCAACACACAGAGCAGUCUGCUGGGAACAAGCGUCUUCUUAAAAGCACAUGUGUCUGCUGACACCAACUUCCCCAUCUGUGAGCAGAGGUCGCGUCCCUGAGAAGGAUUUGGUAAGCUUUUGAUGUCGGAUACAUAGCAGAUUUAUUUCGCGUUUGAAUUAAGCCAACAAUUCUUGUAGUGUCUUUUUCUUUGAAUAAUCUUUUGCUCACUCCUCUACUCUCCAGGUUGUUAUAGGUCACCGAGGGAACUUGACACGUUCAAGGGCCACCUAGAGAUGGUCGUCAAGCUGAAGUGGCUCUCGUCGGCACUGACUUGGUGUUUGUUGUCGUGGUCUCCGGCGGCGGUUGUUGGGUGGCUGCCAUGGCGAGCAAUGCAUGCACGGUCGAAGGCUCAGCUUAGCGGCCGUUCUGUAUGACCGUGGCUAUAGUCGAUUUGGUAAGUUGCUGGUUUUCUUGGGUCCUCCCUAGGCCUCACCUGCUCUCGGACCUUGCCUUCGAGCACUGGAUGCCGGCCAUCGAGCCGUGGUUGAUUAUGUGAUGCUAGACUGACAUGCUUUUGGCUUCCAGCUAUGACUGCUUUGAUUCUAUGUUCACGUAAUUAAUUUUAUUAGUGUGACUUGCUUUGAUGCCAAGUUGACAAUUCUAGACCCAUAACCAUCAGUUCAUUUGUAAACCAGAGCUUUGGAAGCUUGAUGUUUCAGUAGUAAACUUUGGAAUUCCCUACAUAUAUUUUGUAAACUUUGAUAUGUCUUUUUCAAGUCCAUCUUUGGCUGUUUUGGCUUGGUUUGUUUCAUAGCCAUGAUGGUUUUGGUUCAUGUUGUAACAGUCAAGAGUAAGUUGGUAGCAUCAUUAGGUUUAAGUAAAUCUGUGUGUGGUGCAAGUGUCAGUAUUCUAGCAGCUCAUAUGGAGUUCUUUGUGAUUUGUUCCUUCUAAUUUUGUUUCACCCUUUUUUCAGGUUAUUCGAUUGGAGGUGACUCCUGGAGGGAGGUUAGUUAUUGAGAUUGAUAAUCCAAAAGUGGCAAGAGGGCAGGAGAGGAAGAGAUGGCCUAGAUUUGGAGGCACUAGAUAAAUGGAUGGACGAGUUAUUUGUUGGCUGCGGAAUUAGUGUUGGAGGCUGAUGCCCUUUUUUAUUUGUGUAUGUUUUCUCGAGCUAGCUCAAAUAGCGACACUCGAGAUUGAUAUGCUAGAUAGAAUCUACUUUCUUGUCCUGGUGGCUGUUUGAGCUAGUUAUGUACGUAUAUCUGGUGUACGAAGAAUGCAUGUUGUGAAUGAAGAAAAAUGGAAUAAAAUUCACUUCUUUGGUCGAUUCAGUUUUGGCUUUGUGCAAAUGGCUGGCUAGAUGGUAUGCCUAAUUUCCUUUUCCUAUCUCUGCUGAGCCCCGAG